AUGUAUAUAGUGUGCGCUACUUGAGAUGGUCUUACUUUGGUUUUUUGCUUCCAGUCUAGAUGCAUGUUAUGCUUUAACCGGUCAUUGGUUUAUUAGAAUUUUGUAUUAUACUUAAAAAAUAAAAACUUCAUAGUUUUAUUUUUUUGGUAGAAUUUUUUUUGUUUUGGACCCAUUUGGUUCACGGGAAGUGAGGGAAGAGGAAGAACUUCUAAAAAAAAUGAAGAGGAAGUUUUUUGUUUGAUUGAAAUU
rnacentral:lncRNA from 1 species